UACGUAGGGCGCAAGCGUUGUCCGGAAUUAUUGGGCGUAAAGAGCUCGUAGGCGGCCAGUUGCGUCUGCUGUGAAAUCCCGGGGCUCAACCCCGGGCGUGCAGUGGAUACGGACUGGCUAGAGGCAGGCAGGGGAGAACGGAAUUCCCGGUGUAGCGGUGAAAUGCGCAGAUAUCGGGAGGAACACCGGUGGCGAAGGCGGUUCUCUGGGCCUGUACUGACGCUGAGGAGCGAAAGCGUGGGGAGCAAACAGG
rnacentral:rRNA from 1 species